rnacentral:rRNA from 1 species
GACGAACGCUGGCGGCGUGCUUAACACAUGCAAGUCGAACGGAAAGGCCCUGCUUUUGUUGUGUGCUCGAGUGGCGAACGGGUGAGUAACACGUGAGUAACCUGCCCUUUACUUUGGGAUAACUUCAGGAAACUGUGGCUAAUACCGGAUAGGAGCUCCUGCUGCAUGGUGUGUGUUGGAAAGUUUCGGCGGUUGGGGAUGGACUCGCGGCUUAUCAGCUUGUUGGUGGGGUAGUGGCUUACCAAGGCUUUGACGGGUAGCCGGCCUGAGAGGGUGACCGGCCACAGUGGGACUGAGAUACGGGCAAGACUCAUACGGGAGGCAGAAGUGGGGAAUAUUGCACAAUGGGCGGAAGCAGGAUGCAGCAACGCCGCGUGCGGGAUGACGGCCGUAGGGUUGUAAACCGCUUUCGCCUGUGACGAAGCGUGAGUGACGGUAAUGGGUAAAGAAGCACCGGCUAACUACGUG